AGCCUUUUUCUUGUUUUCUCUUAUUUUGACUUUCUAGUAUUACGUUGUGUUACUUCACAACGCUCUGGGUCGCGAAGAAGCAAUUCAUCACUGCUGCCCGGAGAAGUCACCGAGAGGUGGGAGAGGGAGGCGAGGGGAGGAACGAAGAGGCCGAAGGCUGAGGUUUCUGGGAAAAGAUUUCGAGACUGCACCCGGUUGAGUGAGGAUGGCUGAUCGUCCUCCUCAGUCGGAGCCAGCGGCCCCGCAAGAACUCAGUGGAGCCUUCAAGAAGCCGUCUCUGCCCGCGCCUCCGGCCGUGCAGGAGAAAGCCCCGGCUCCUAGUCCCUCAGAUUCUGAGGAGGGGAAGAAAGAAAGGCCCGCGGAACUGCGGGACCCGGAUCCCGGGGAGUCCGACGUCCCGUCACUUCAGCCGGACAGCGGGGACGCAAGGAGUCCACAGGAGGAGCAGCCGCGUCCCCCCGCAGCGUCUUCUUGCCCUGGCGGUCCGGCCCGGCCUCCCCCCUACCAAGAGCCGCCCUGGGGCGGCCCCACCACGGCCCCUUACAGCCUGGAGACCCUCAAGGGCGGCACCAUCCUCGGCACCCGCGGCUUGAAAGGGACGAGUUACUGCCUUUUCGGGAGGCUGUCCAGCUGCGACGUGUGCCUAGAGCACCCUUCUGUGUCUCGGUACCACGCCGUGCUGCAGCACAGGGCGCCGGGCCCAGACGGGGAACGCGACGGCCACGGGCCAGGCUUCUAUCUCUACGACCUGGGAAGCACUCAUGGCACUUUUCUCAACAAAACUAGAAUCCCACCCCGCACCUAUUGUCGGGUCCGCGUCGGACAUGUUCUUCGCUUUGGAGGCAGCACCCGUCUCUUUAUCCUGCAGGGACCAGAGGAUGACCAAGAGGCAGAAUCCGAGUUAACGGUAACGCAGUUGAAGAAAUUGCGUAAACAGCAGCAAACGUUGUUGGAGAAGAAGAUGCUAGGAGAAGACUCAGAUGAAGAGGAGGAAAUGGAUACCAGUGAAGGGAAGAGAAGUGUUAGUGGCCAAGAUGAUGAGAUGGGUUGCACCUGGGGAAUGGGAGAAGAUGCUGUAGAGGAUGAGGCUGAAGAGAACCCCAUUGUCUUAGAGUUUCAGCAGGAAAGGGAGGCCUUUUAUAUAAAGGAUCCAAAAAAGGCUCUGCAAGGUUUUUUUGACCGAGAAGGAGAAGAAUUAGAAUAUGAAUUUGAUGAACAAGGACAUAGCACUUGGCUCUGCAGGGUGAGAUUACCUGUGGAUGAUUCAACUGGAAAACAACUGGUGGCUGAGGCUAUUCACUCAGGAAAGAAAAAAGAAGCAAUGAUCCAGUGCUCACUGGAAGCUUGUCGGAUCCUCGAUACUUUGGGAUUGCUGCGGCAGGAAGCAGUAUCUCGGAAAAGGAAAGCCAAGAACUGGGAGGACGAAGACUUUUAUGAUAGUGAUGACGACACAUUUCUUGAUCGAACUGGCCUGGUUGAGAAGAAACGACUGAACCGAAUGAAGAAGGCUGGCAAGAUUGAUGAGAAGCCAGAGACCUUUGAAUCAUUGGUUGCAAAGUUAAACGAUGCUGAGAGGGAACUCUCUGAAAUUUCUGAGAAGCUGAAAGCCUCAAGCAAAUCUCUAUCAGAGUCACAAUCUCAGGAUUCUUUAGAUGCAUUCAUGUCAGAAAUGAAAUCAGGGAGUGCAUUAGAUGGUGUGUCCCGGAAGAAACUUCACCUGAGAACUUUUGAACUAAGGAAAGAACAACAAAGACUUAAAGGGUUAAUAAAAAUUGUAAAGCCAGCAGAGAUUCCGGAACUGAAAAAGACUGAAAGUCAGACUACAGAUGCAGAAAAUAAAGCUAAAAAGCUUACUUUGCCUCUCUUUGGUGCCAUGAAAGGAGGAAGCAAAUUCAAAUUAAAAACUGGAACAGUAGGGAAAUUACCCCCCAAGCGUCCAGAACUCCCUCCAGCUCUGUUGAGAAUGAAGGAUGAGCCUGAAGUAGAAGAGGAGGAGGAAGAGGAAGAAGAAGAAGAGAAAGAACAGGAAGAGGUUGAAAAGAAAAAAGCAGAGGAUGGAAGUAGUAGGCCACAGCUUGAGAUAGAGCCAGAAGCCGCACAGGAAACGAAGCCUCCCUCGGAGGUCACACAUUCUAAAGAAAAGCAAACCCACGGUACUAUCUUCUCCAUCUCGUGUUAUUCAGUGGGCAGUUGCAUUGAUUGUGGGUAGAUUUUUAAAAGCAAGGCCGGUUCUUGUCCGUGCAUCUUGACUUUGCAUAUACGAUACACUGACUGUAUAGUAAGCACCUUUCUUGGUCUUCCUUUGACUGCCAAUCAUGAUUUACUCCCAUUGAAAAUUGAGGGUGAGUAUUUCUAAUCUGUUCCAGAAUUACAGAAAAUUGAAAGCUGUGGAAGAAUUCUGAUCUGCUGCCACUGUAUGAGUUGGAAGACAGUGGAAUUGGUAGGAUUAGGGUGGAUGGUAGGGCCUAAACAGGCAAUCUCAGGAUAAGUCACCCUUUGAUCAUUUUUCCCCAUCCUUGGAGCAGAAGUUAAGCAUGAUUAUACUCAUUGGAGUAAAGUUCUUAAGGAUCUUACCUCAUUAUCUUUUUAUCAAUAGAACCUAGCAAAAAAUCUGGCCUCAUAAGUAUCCACUCAGUUUAGCAAAUAUCUGAUGAAAAAUAUUGAAAGAUGGAAUUGAUGAAGUUUUUUUUUCUUUUAAGACAGAGUCUUACUCUGUGACCUUUAUGGAAAACAUGUCUCAACUCAGCCAGGGGGAACAGAAAAAAGAUUAUCAAGAGAUUAACAAAACAUCUUCAUCACUUGAGGAACCCUCAG